UAGAGUUUGAUCAUGGCUCAGAUUGGACGCUGGCGGCAGGCUUAACACAUGCAAGUCGAGCGGGGAAAGGUAGCUUGCUACCUGACCUAGCGGCGGACGGGUGAGUAAUGCUUAGGAAUCUGCCUAUUAGUGGGGGACAACAUUCCGAAAGGAAUGCUAAUACCGCAUACGCCCUACGGGGGAAAGCAGGGGAUCUUCGGACCUUGCGCUAAUAGACGAGCCUAAGUCAGAUUAGCUAGUUGGUGGGGUAAAGGCCUACCAAGGCGACGAUCUGUAGCGGGUCUGAGAGGAUGAUCCGCCACACUGGGACUGAGACACGGCCCAGACUCCUACGGGAGGCAGCAGUGGGGAAUAUUGGACAAUGGGCGAAAGCCUGAUCCAGCCAUGCCGCGUGUGUGAAGAAGGCCUUUUGGUUGUAAAGCACUUUAAGCGAGGAGGAGGCUACCGAGAUUAAUACUCUAGGAUAGUGGACGUUACUCGCAGAAUAAGCACCGGCUAACUCUGUGCCAGCAGCCGCGGUAAUACAGAGGGUGCGAGCGUUAAUCGGAUUUACUGGGCGUAAAGCGUGCGUAGGCGGCUUUUUAAGUCGGAUGUGAAAUCCCUGAGCUUAACUUAGGAAUUGCAUUCGAUACUGGGAAGCUAGAGUAUGGGAGAGGAUGGUAGAAUUCCAGGUGUAGCGGUGAAAUGCGUAGAGAUCUGGAGGAAUACCGAUGGCGAAGGCAGCCAUCUGGCCUAAUACUGACGCUGAGGUACGAAAGCAUGGGGAGCAAACAGGAUUAGAUACCCUGGUAGUCCAUGCCGUAAACGAUGUCUACUAGCCGUUGGGGCCUUUGAGGCUUUAGUGGCGCAGCUAACGCGAUAAGUAGACCGCCUGGGGAGUACGGUCGCAAGAUUAAAACUCAAAGGAAUUGACGGGGGCCCGCACAAGCGGUGGAUUAUGUGGUUUAAUUCGAUGCAACGCGAAGAACCUUACCUGGUCUUGACAUAGUAAGAACUUUCCAGAGAUGGAUUGGUGCCUUCGGGAACUUACAUACAGGUGCUGCAUGGCUGUCGUCAGCUCGUGUCGUGAGAUGUUGGGUUAAGUCCCGCAACGAGCGCAACCCUUUUCCUUAUUUGCCAGCGGGUUAAGCCGGGAACUUUAAGGAUAAUGCCAGUGACAAAGUGGAGGAAGGCGGGGACGACGUCAAGUCAUCAUGGCCGUUGGGAACAGGGCUACACACGUGCUACAUGUCGUACAAAGGGUGCUACCUACGAUAGGAUGCUAAUCUCAAAAAGCCGAUUGUUGUCCGGAUUGGAGUUUGCAACUUGACUCCUUGAAGUCGGAAUUGCUAGUAAUCACGGAUCAAAAUGCCGCGGUGAAUACGUUCCCGAAAGGGUACACACCGCCCGUCACGCCAUGGGAAUUUGGACACCAGUAGGAGGUAGUCUGACGGCAAGGAGGACAUGUACCAGCGUGCGGCUGGCGUUUGGGGUAAGUCGUAACAAACUCU
rnacentral:rRNA from 2 species